GGGCGGUUGAUACUGAAUCUAGUAAAUUUUGGUGGGAAACUACUAAAUUAUGGGGCGGAGUUGCUAUCGAAGAUGUUAAAUUUUGCUGGGCAACUGAUAUUGAACCUGGUAGAUGUUGUUGGAAAACUGGUACUGAAUCUGGUUGAUCUUGCUGGGGGACUAGUGAAUUUUGUUGCGGAACAGUUACCAAAACUGGUAAAUUUUACUGGAAAACAGGUCUUGUACCUGAUAGAUUAUAGUGGGGAACUGCUGAUGAAGCUGAUAGAUUUUGGUGCGGAAUGGCUAUCGAAACUGGUAAAUUUUGGUGGGCAAUUGAUA
rnacentral:misc_RNA from 1 species